UCUGCCUCUGCCACAUCAUAAAGGGCUUUGGGGCCGGCAUCGGGUGGCUCCGGGCCACCUGUCGCUGUGCAUCCUGUGCUACCAGCACCAGCUGCACCAGGGCUGGAGCUACCACCUGCCCCUGCACCCGGCCCGCGGCUCUCUGUGCUUUUGGGGAAGGGUUUGAUGACCGCUGUCUGGUUUGGGUUCUCCUUCUUGUUGAUGUGGACAGACAGUCGUUGCCACAGGUGCUGCCCCCGGGUGCUCUUCUCAUUCUGGGCCCAAGUCACGGAUUUUCCAUUGGAGCUGUGGAGAGGAAAGAGUAGAGAGGCUGCCCCUGUGCUCUGAAGGCUACUCGGAUGAGGAUGUACAUUAUGCCUCAACUUCAGAAUCUGCAUCCUUCUCUAUGCCAAAAUGGCUGGUAGCCACCAGAACCACAUAGAUGCUCCUGUCAGAAACAUUAUGUUGGCCAGAGGACAAUACAUGUCUUGCAGCCAUAGUUCGUGGAGGAAUCUUUUUUUGUGAAUCCACAUGAAGAUAAAUUGAAGAUGAGAUGGUGCCUGUCACUUCUGGUCCAGCCAGUAUUGCUCUACCCAGUAUAAACAAGACAUUAAAGAAUGAGAACUUCUCUCUCAA